AUGAGUUUUUGGUUUGUUAGUGUUACUAGCGUAACCAUAAAAACUUCAUCCUAUGUUUACAUACUAUGUAUACUUUGGCAAGACGCUUUGACUUGUAGUUGGAGUUUGACACUAGUCGAGCGACGCCACAAGAAAAAGCCACUGACGUUCCCUCAAGAAUUGUGAGUGUGUUUGCUUGCCAAAGGUUUAACUCUUUUAUACUGUUGUCUGAGUACUACAAAAAUAAAUUA
rnacentral:misc_RNA from 1 species